rnacentral:pre_miRNA from 4 species
UCUUAUGGAUGGGCAAAGAAAGUGUUUUCUUAAGAUGGAAUUUACUCCUGGUGAAGAUGCUGUGAA